GUACGGCUCCCUAAAGAAAACGUCUCCUUUCACGACAGGAGGCUGCAAUGCUGAACGAUACUUCAGCAGUCAUUUACUGAUACCUGAGUGUGUUCCACCAACUUCAAGCAGAAGUCUUACAGGGCGAGGGUUGUGUUUCUCAGGAGGAAAGCCCUCCAGCUUUCAUUGUAAGCAAGGUCGUGCUUGGCAGUGUUGUUUAAAUGAGAAUAUGAUACCAGAGAAAACUGUAAGGCACCUCCUGCUUACGUUGCAGUUCAUCAAACCAAACAAUAUUUUCAAAGCAGUGCUGUCAUUUGCUGCUGUUAUUUAAUUAAACUUUUUUAUCUCCCUGAUCUACCCCGUUUUCUUGUUUGAAAUCACAAUUAUGUCAUUAUGCUCCACACGUUUCCUCUCUGAUGCUGCUGCUGAGGGCAUGCUGCUAUCGCACACCGGGUCUGAGCGCAAUCAAGGGCUUAGAAGGAGAAAGGUGCCUUGGAGGACUGUGCCAAAAGCAAAUGCAGGGCAAUAAAACAUUGACUUCGUAUAUGUCCCUUCUCCCAGCACCCGUUUCCUAGCCAGGUGAAUGCUGAUGGUGGGAUGCAGCCACACUCCUGCACUAUGCCACACCGAAAACCAAAAGCAGGAUGUAGUACAGCAUGGAAGCAUCUUGCCGCUGCUGCUGAAACAACCUCGUUUAGGUGUGCUGCAGAACUUCCCAUACUUCGCUGAAACUGUAACUUCUAACCUAAAAAGUUUCUUUCGGGGCUGUUCCCUAUAUUGCAGAGGCUACAUUUUAGCAGUCCUGCAACUCCACCGUGCAAUUGAUCAGGCAAACCAGCCUGCAGCAGAAACUAAUGCAGCUUCGAGUCAGCAAUCCAAAAGCACAGACCUGCAAAGCUCAGUUGCUUGAGAGCAGCACCAUGCACACAUCUGUUCCUGCAACUGCCAAUGUUACCUCGAUGUAGAAGUGUGUAUGAAGCAAAGGUGUGCCUCUGAAUUCCUCCACUCACCGAUGUUUGAUGAACACAGAUGGAGACCCACCAGUGGAUGCCAGCAAGGCGACUGAUGUGAGGCAGUGGGUGGUGCGCUUCAGCAAUGGCAACAGUGCUGUGAAAGACAAGCUGUGCUCCAGGCAGCCAUGCAGCACUGCCACACCAUGGAAUGAACAGCAUCUCGAUCAUCACAUCCACAUUAAUUGGUGGAUUAUGACCAGGGAACUGUGUUCGGCACUGAAUACUGGUUUCAGUGCAUUGGAAAUGAUGGUGGCAAUGUUGGAAUACCACAAAGUUUGCACCAGGUGGGUCCCACAAAUGCUCACACAGGAGCAAAAAGAACACCGUAUGCACACAUAUCACGACCAACUGAACCAACACGGGGCUGAAGGUGACAGUUCCCUCAGUCACAUCAUUACCAGUGAUGAGACACUGUGUCACCACUGUGAGCUGGCAUCAAAACAGCAGUCUGAGGAGCGGCAACAUUUGAAUUCCCCAUGGAAGAAAAAGCUCCCUCAGCAGCCC
ensembl:lncRNA